rnacentral:misc_RNA from 1 species
GAUGAAGAACGUAGCGAAAUGCGAUAAGUAAUGUGAAUUGCAGAAUUCAGUGAAUCAUCGAAUCUUUGAACGCACAUUGCGCCCGCUAGUAUUCUGGCGCGCAUGCCUGUCCGAGCGUCAUUUCAACCCUCAAGCCCCCGGGCUUGGUGUUGGGGAUCGGCGAGCCUCCGCGCCCGCCGUCCCCUAAAUCUAGUGGCGGUCUCGCUGUAGCUUCCUCUGCGUAGUAGCACACCUCGCACUGGGAAACAGCGCGGCCACGCCGUUAAACCCCCAACUUCUGAACGUUUGACCUCGGAUCAGGUAGGAAUACCCGCUGAACUUAAGCAUAUCAAUAAGCGGAGGA